rnacentral:rRNA from 1 species
AACGCGAAGAACCUUACCAACCUUUGACAUGUCCAGUAUGGGUUUAGGAGACUAGACUCUUCAGUUCGGCUGGCUGGAACACAGGUGCUGCAUGGCUGUCGUCAGCUCGUGUCGUGAGAUGUUGGGUUAAGUCCCGCAACGAGCGCAACCCUCAUCUUUAGUUGCCACCAGGUAAGGCUGGGCACUCUAGAGAAACCGCCGGUGAUAAGCCGGAGGAAGGCGGGGAUGACGUCAAGUCCUCAUGGCCCUUACAGGUUGGGCUACACACGUACUACAAUGGUGGUGACAGUGGGUUGCGAAGUCGCGAGACGGAGCCAAUCCCCAAAAGCCAUCUCAGUUCAGAUUGUACCCUGCAACUCGGGUGCAUGAAGUUGGAAUCGCUAGUAAUCGCAGAUCAGCACGCUGCGGUGAAUACGUUCCCGGGCCUUGUACACACCGCUCGCGA